rnacentral:rRNA from 1 species
UACGGAGGGUGCAAACGUUGCUCGGAAUCAUUGGGCGUAAAGCGCACGUAGGCGGCCUGAUAAGUCGGGUGUGAAAGCCCUGGGCUCAACCCAGGAAGUGCACUCGAAACUGCCAGGCUUGAAUAUGGAAGAGGGUCGCGGAAUUCCCGGUGUAGAGGUGAAAUUCGUAGAUAUCGGGAGGAACACCAGUGGCGAAGGCGGCGACCUGGGUCGAGACUGACGCUGAUGCGCGAAAGCGUGGGGAGCAAACAGG